AUACUUUUUUAAUGUAUCACAAUGAGCAAGAAACAUACUUGAUGAAAUAUUUUCAAAGGAGUAUAUUCAAUUACCAUCUACAAUCAACUUAACUAGGACAACAAGUUUUUGUGACAAAAGUUUCUUUAAAAGUCUGAAGUUCCAUGUGGUUGUAUGUAUGUUAGUUUCCAUGUAAUUUGGUACAGUUUGGAAAUCUUCAUAUAAUUACAGUAACAAAAAAGCUAACAAGACUACAGUAUAGAAAAGACAUCAAGAACAACAUUUUUGGUUUAACUUGCUCUUUUUUGUACAUUGCAAGGCUGUUUUUUUCUACCCUCAGAUGGGCUGCCUGGAGCCACAGAGCCAUGCUUAUGAGGCUCGAAGGAGGAGUAAUUCAAGGAAACAAAAAGAAAAAAACAAACAAAAAAGAAAAAAAAAAUAAAAGGAUAAAAAAAACAUUGUGGCACCAGAAGUCACAAAAGGAACAGAGAGCUCCAAGUAACAGUUCAUCUUUGAAGUUGGAGCAAAUGGUUGUUUGGUUGUUAGUUUGGUUGUUAAUUUUGGUUAAUAUGCUUUUUUUUUUUUCUUUUUCUUAGUGUAACUGCCUCUUUAAGAAUGACAGCUUUGAGAACCCAUCCCCUCUCUGUGUUGUUAAUUUCUCUGUUUAGAUAAUGUAACCAACAGAGAGAGGGGUGAGCCGCCAUUUGACUGGAGAGCUUUACUUGUCAACUGCAGACAAGCACGAGGAAAUGAAACGGGUAGCAACAUGAACUGGAAGAUAUGAAGCAAGCAUCUCUGUCCAUCCUGUCCUGAAAUUUGGAAAAUGUCCAUCAAAGAGCAGAAGCGGAGGCAGAGCUGGAGAAAUAAAGGACAGACAGAAAGGAGAAAGAGGCAGCUGGAGCCACUUAAGUUCAGUUUCCUCUAAAGACUUUCCUCUGUGUAUGACAUACGUCCAUUGGUUCCAGAGUCCAUUCGCAUUACAGAGUUGUCAGUAAUCAAAUAAGGAGGUGGUUUUUAAAGCUGUUUUGAGCCUGGCUUUGGCUCCCAUGCCCAGUUUUGUGUGCCCAGAGCCUCUCUUGUCCUCCUAACAAGAUCUCCAAAGCUUCCCAGAGUCCUUUAUCAUUUCUUUUUAUUCCUUCUUCAUCUCAAAAAACAAACAAACAAAUAAAAGAAAACAAACAGUUGAUGUCUUGGUUUUAAAUAUAUCUAUAUCUGUAUACAGGUACACUUUCGUUUUCACAGUGGGCAAAAGAUGACCUCUACAGCAAGACCUUGUCUUUAUCCCUCUCUUGUAAUUGUCCAUUAAAAUCAAGUAUCCCAAAUGUAAGGAGGUGGAUCCCUGUAUCCACAAUAGCAUUGUGUGCCGCAAUAAAAUAUACACUUAUCCGGGGCACGUUUUUUUUUCCUUUGUGUUUCAACUGCAUAAAGCUUUGGCCACAUUCAUAUAUUCAAUCAAAGUAAAAACUGCUCAGUGCUUCGGUAUCAUCGUUCUCAUUUCCAAUCGUUAUCUUUUAAAUUAGAUUUUCUGAAUUUCAGUUAUUCACAAUCCAGCUUCGUGGUUCAGCUUGUUUUGGUGAGUAACAUAUAACCAAAAAAUAAUAAUAAUUAAAGGCAAAGAAGAAAAAAAAAUUGAAUUGAUGCUGGCUCUUAUGACACGCACGCACAUACACGCGCACAAACGUACAACGCACACUUACAUAAACACACAAACCCAUACAGAGUACAUGCUGGCUGAAUCUAAUGUGAAGACCUCAACUGUGUCUUCCACAAAAGAGCCCAAAAGAUUACAC
ensembl:lncRNA